UUUUUUAAAUCAGCAAGAUGAUGAUGUAAGUAAUGGUUAUUUAAAUCAAAUCUCAAAAUACUGGAAUUAUGUCAUCCUUGAAGAAGACAAGAGGAGAUCUGGGGGUUCCAAGAGGAAGUGCCCCUUCACCUGCAAGAUGGUCACCUUAGAGAAAUCUCAGUGCCUGGGGUGGGUAUGAACUGAAAACUCCUAGCCAAGAAGGACGGAAGACCUUGGUAUUAGGAAGGUUUAGAUUAGGAAGGUUUAGAUUUUGAGAUUUUUAGAUUUUGAGAUGACAUCCAAGCAUGCAAGCAAAAAAAGUCUCUUUUGCUUUUAUCUAAGUCAUACCAUGAAGCUGGCCAGGGUGAUUCUCUGACUCCUGGAAUGGCAGACCUGAUCGUCUGCCCUUCCCACGUCUUCGCCGAUCAGUCCCCACUUUCCAGCCUGCACAAGUGCCUUGGAGCCCUACCCUUUGGAUGCAGCCAAAGCCAUUCCUAGCAGCCCUUGAGGGUUCUAACAACACAACUGUGGAGUCAGAGGAAGUCCUGUCUCCUGGGAUCCCAAGGCUUCAUCCAGGGACAGCUACAUGUAAAUCAGGAAGAGAAAUCUGCUGUGGAAAAGGUCUCCAUUGACCAACUGCUCCUCUGGUCUCUGCCUGUCCAGCAGACAAGUGCACUGCAGUAAUGAAAUCCACGACUUCCCACCUCUGCCAGUGAAGAGUCAGCAUGUACCGUGUGAAAGCCAGGAAGGCUCAUCUGUCUCGUGAGUGAUUUCCUUUCCUAAGGAAGGCCCUCCAAGGAGCCAUGCAUCUCUGGAACGGAUCACCCAUGCUGACAGAACUGAAGAUUGAACCUCUAACUAACAUGACUUGUGCAGGUGACAGGGAAAUUGUUUGUAAUAUAACUUCAUUUCUUUAAAAGCAGCUACGGAUUUAUACUUGGGUGAAAUUAUAUCCCACAUACUAAUUUAAUAAACUCCUCUAAGCUUACACAGAGUCUCUUCUUGGAAAAGGAUGUGUUUCUGAUCCACUGGCCAGUGCACUGAAUGAUUUCCCACUACAACCCAAGGGAGAGGGAGUAGUGAAGACUGAAAACUAGGCAAAGCCAAUUCGUAUUCUGAUGAAACUUUACAAAUGCUGCUUAUGACAAAACCCAGUUGUAAAAACUAAAGGGUAAGGUGAACACCCAAACCCUGCCAUUAAAAUAACAAAGAAAGGGGCUCCCUGCUACCUUUGGUUAAUCUUUUCCAGUGGAACCUUCUUGUCUUGUGUCUCAUUACCUCAAGUCCCAAGAUUUCCAACCCUGGGUAAAGACUGUCUCCUCAGGGCCAGGCACAGUGGCCCAUGCCUGAAAUCCCAGCAAUUUGGGAGGCCGAGG
rnacentral:lncRNA from 10 species